UACGGAGGUGGCAAGCGUUGCUCGGAAUCACUGGGCGUAAAGGGCGCGUAGGCGGCCUGCUAAGUCGAACGUGAAAUCCCUGGGCUCAACCCAGGAACUGCGUCCGAUACUGGUUGGCUUGAAUCCGGGAGAGGGAUGUGGAAUUCCAGGUGUAGCGGUGAAAUGCGUAGAUAUCUGGAGGAACACCGGUGGCGAAGGCGGCAUCCUGGACCGGUAUUGACGCUGAGGCGCGAAAGCCAGGGGAGCAAACGGG
rnacentral:rRNA from 1 species